GUGAGAUCAAGCCUUGGUGGAGUGAGCGCUUCGUUUACACCGAAGAUGUCGGCGGUUCGAGCCCGUCAUCGCCCACCA
rnacentral:tRNA from 1 species